AUGUUCUGUAAACUCCAGGUUAGGCCCGUGACAGAAUAUAAAGCCUGGAGCCCUCCUCAUUUUAGCCUUGAUAUUAAUCAGAAUAGUACGGAGCGUAUUGAAUUUGGGAGCAAGGACAAAGAUCCUUUGUCACCAUUCAUCCAGAGCCACAGGAUAAUUCACCCCUAUCAAAACGGGCAUAAGUACUCGUUACAUUUGGCGUCACGAACAGGAUUCGUUUAUUUGCCUGUUAUAGGAAUGGAGGAUUUACAGAAAGAAGUGGAUUUACUUAGCAGAAAAUUGUCUGAACAAGGUGAAGCUUUGCUACUGGCCAGAGAAGGUCAACGUGAGGCCCUGGCAUUAGCAAAAGCUGCCACCGAAAAACAGAGUGUAACUCCAGCCAUUUAUAUUCCUCGGGAAAGAAAACUCUCUGAUUUCAGUGGUAUUUCUGGGGAACAAGACGUGGAGGAAUGGAUUGAUCAAGUGAGAUCCAUCUUCCGGUUGUCCCGCAUACCUGAGGAUGAUCAAGUUGAACUUCUUAAGCAGCACCUUAAAGGGGAAGCUAAGUUGACUGUAAAGUUGAUGCUGGGUGAAACUGAAAACGAUCCAGAAAAGAUAUUUGAGGUGCUCAUUGACACAUAUGGUGACAGAACACCAGUUGGGACUCUACUGAGGGAAUUUUACGAAACCACUCAGAGUCCAGGAGAGACAGUUAGGGCAUUUGCUUAUGCUCUUCAGGAAAAGUUGGAAAAGGUUUUAAAAAGAGACCGCAAUCGUGUACCCCUUCCAGAAGUUGUUCUGAAUGAACAACUGGUAUUGGGUUUGUUUGAUGCCGGUCUUCGCCGGGAAAUUAAAAGAACAGUUAAGGAACAGAGAGGUAUGUCGUUCAAAGAUGUUAUAGAAGCUGCGAUCACCUGGUCAGAGGAGGGGGAAAAGAAUGUGUCAGCUGCAGCUUUAAGUAGUGGCAAGUCCAGAGCCACCGUGAGUUCUACUACUGCGGUGACAGAAUCACCUUCACUCAGCUUAGAAAGCCUGCAUGGGGCUAUUCAGAAACUCGCGGCCCGUCAAGAAGAGCUGUUUAAAGAGGUUUGCCUUGUUAAAGAAAUGAGGGUAGAGCCAAGGGAAAGUUACAAACGCAGCUCCCGGGCCCCGCUGAAGGAUAGUGAUGGUAGAUACAUUUGCUACUCCUGUAACCAGCCAGGACACACGAGUCGUUAUUGUCCCCAAAAUCGGGAAAAACAACCAGGGCUGCCAGUGGACAGGACUACGACUGUGUCCAGUCAGCAUGGUGAUAGUUCGGGUGUAGAUAGGUCAGCUUCAAUUCGUGUUCAGUCUGCCUCAUCCGCGGUCCAUGGCCACCAGGUUACUAGUCAGGCAUUUGGUAAUUGUCUGGUUAUUGAGGUAAAAAUAGCUGGGGUUAUAACCCGCUGUCUGUUGGACACAGGCUCGGAGGUUACAACCAUUACAGAGUCUUACUUUAGAGAACAUUUUUGUGGAGUUGGAUCAGAGCUAUUGAGUGCCAGAUGGGUGCGCCUCUCUGCGGUGAAUGGAUUGGAGAUCCCAGUGGUUGGGUGUCUGGAGACUGAUGAGUGCAUGGGACAGACCUUAUGUAACAAGUGUGUGUUUGUAUUAAAGGAUCCAGAACAGUCAGGAGAGGUGGGCGUUCCUGGCAUCGUUGGCAUGAAUAUACUGGGGGACCUUAAGGGACUGCUUGGCACCCACAAAGAGGUGACCAAGCUAGACCGCCACAGGGGGUUGAGAGAGAAUGCCUGUGUCAGGAGAGUACUGGCAACCAUUGAAAAGGAAACAAACUACAUUGCCCCAUCAGGUAGAAUAGGUUAUGUCAAGGUAGCUGGCAGGAGGAAAGUUACCAUUCCGCCAUACACUCAGGUAAUUGUACAGGGGCAUUGCCGAACCCCAAUGAAGAGCCAAUGCCAAGUCUUGGUGGAGGCUACAACAGGUGUAAGUCUGCCAAGUGGGGUUCUUGUUGCUAAUGUCUUGACCCAGGCAAAAGAAGGAAAGGUGCCAGUUCGGAUAUUAAAUGCCACUAGUAAGAUUGUGAGACUGCCACCUAGAGCUAGGCUUGCUGAGGUUCAUAAACCGGCAGAGAUCUACCUGAAAGACCCGAUAAUUUUUGAGGAGCAACAAGAUGCGUUCUGUGUACGGGUUAAAACUGAGAAGGUGGCAGGUCAUGGUCGAUUAUCGGACCCAUUGCCAAUCUCAAUAGAGGUUAAUAUGGAACCUUUGCAGGAUGAACAGAUGUUGAAGUUGAGGGCACUUCUAGAGAAACAUAUAGAUGUGUUCUCUAAGUCUGACAGUGAUUAUGGUCACACCACUGCAGUUACACACUGCAUCCCUACAGGAGAUGCUCAGCCCAUCAAACAACGUCACAGACGCAUCCCACCACAGAUCUUUCAAGAGGUCAAACGACAUGUACAGGACCUGGUGUCUCAGGGCAUCCUUAAGGAAAGUUGCAGUCCUUGGGCUUCCCCUGCAGUGAUUGUUGUUAAGAAGGAUGGGGGAAUUCGGUUUUGCUGUGAUUACAGGAGACUGAAUCAAAUAACCUGUAAAGACGCGUACCCUCUCCCUCGAGUGGAGGAGUCAGUUGAUGCUCUAGGAGAUGCCCGUAUUUUUUCAACGCUUGAUCUGACAUCUGGCUACUUUCAGGUUGCCAUGGAUAGUCAAGACCAAAUAAAGACAGCGGUGACUACACCUUUCGGGUUGUUCGAGUGGACUCGCAUGCCCUUUGGGUUAUGCAACGCCCCGGCGACAUUUCAACGCCUAAUGGGUGUGGUCCUAGGAGAUUUGACAUUUGACACCCUUUUAGUAUAUUUGGAUGACAUUAUAGUCUUCUCAAAAGACUGGAUCUAG
rnacentral:lncRNA from 1 species